UAAGGAAUAUUGGUCAAUGGGCGAGAGCCUGAACCAGCCAUGCCGCGUGAAGGAAGACGGCCUUAUGGGUUGUAAACUUCUUUUAAGAGGGAAAAAACUGAGCUACGUGUAGCUCAUUGCUUGUACCUUUUGAAUAAGCAUCGGCUAACUCCGUGCCAGCAGCCGCGGUAAUACGGAGGAUGCGAGCGUUAUCCGGAUUCAUUGGGUUUAAAGGGUGCGCAGGCGGACUAAUAAGUCAGUGGUGAAAUCCCAUAGCUUAACUAUGGAACUGCCAUUGAUACUGUUAGACUAGAGUAUGGAUGACGUAGGCGGAAUGCGACAUGUAGCGGUGAAAUGCUUAGAUAUGUCGCAGAACACCGAUUGCGAAGGCAGCUUACGAAGCCAUAACUGACGCUCAUGCACGAAAGCGUGGGGAUCAAACA
rnacentral:rRNA from 1 species